GUUGAGGCCUAUCCCGAUGGAGCUUUGCUGUAGGUUCUUGUCGUUGGAAAUGCCUCAAAGAGCAAACUUGUGGCUUCGCUUUACCCACUAAACUACGUAUUAGUUUGGUGGGAUAAAACUACAAGACAGUU
ensembl:snoRNA